GACGAACGCUGGCGGCGUGCUUAACACAUGCAAGUCGAACGGAGUGGCGAACGGGUGAGUAACACGUGGGUGAACUGCCCUGCACGUCGGGAUAAGCCGGGGAAACUGGGUAUAAUAACGGAUAGUGUGGGAUGGGCCCGCGGCCUAUAAGAUUGUUGGUGGGGUAAUGGCCUACCAAGGCGGCGACGGGUAGACGGCAGGAGAGGGUGGACGGCCACAUUGGGACUGAGACACGGCCCAGACUCCUACGGGAGGCAGCAGUGGGGAAGAUUUCACAAUGGGCGGAAGCCUGAUGCAGCGACGCAGCGUGCGGGAUGACGGCCGUCGGGUUGUAAACUCCUUUCACCAUCGACGCGGUAGAUGGAGAAGAAGCACCGGCUAACUACGUGCCAGCAGCCGCGGUAAUAC
rnacentral:rRNA from 1 species